rnacentral:rRNA from 1 species
UACGUAGGGGGCAAGCGUUAUCCGGAUUUACUGGGUGUAAAGGGAGUGUAGGCGGCCUGGCAAGCCAGAUGUGAAAGCCCGCGGCUCAACUGCGGGACUGCAUUUGGAACUGUUAGGCUUGAGUGCAGGAGAGGAAAGUGGAAUUCCUAGUGUAGCGGUGAAAUGCUUAGAUAUUAGGAGGAACACCAGUGGCGAAGGCGGCUUUCUGGACUGUAACUGACGCUGAGGCUCGAAAGCGUGGGGAG